AUGGAACUUAAUCUCAACAGUCACCUGAGUUGAAGAUAGAGUUUGAGGAGUCAUCCCAAUAUGGAUAGCAUUUGUUGUAAAUUAGAAGGUGGUAAAAACUUGCCUUUGGAAAAAAGUUUAAAAAUUGCAGUGAGACUUAUGAAUACUCUUCAACUUCACCUGUUGGAAUAAAGGUCUUUCUUGUAAUCAGGAGAUCCUGUUGACAUGUGGCAAUGAGCAGGAAGAAAAUCUUGUUAUGUAGAUAACAAUCUGUGACUGAUGGAGCUGCCUGAGUGAGGGAAAGCAGGGAUGUUGACGCAUCAGUAAACACCGAAUGCCUCUGGAAACAAUAUAAAACAGAAAGAGUCAGAGAGGAUCAGAAAUAAAUGAAAUCUCUCACAACUAAACUGCUUAUGUGUUCAUCCUGUUGACUGAUUCUUUUCUGGAUUGUGCUCCUUGUGGGCAGGGCUGCUCUCAUGCUUUCCUUAUAGACUGGGAGAGCAACAAGGAAGCAAAGCCCCUCUCCUGAAGCACAGCCCCCAAGAGAAUCCAUUUGCACCUGACCCAAGCAUAACCAGUUCUCAGAGGAACGGGGCCCAUGCAACUUGCUGACCCUCUGCUAAUGGAUCACCAAAAGAGGCAUACAGUGCUUGUCUGGAGCAUUUUGCACAGUAACCUGUGAUGUGGGUUGCACUUAUUUUCUUUCCCAGUUUACCAUUUGUCCUUUGACUUUGUCUUUUGCCUUGAAAAAUGUUCUGAAAUGUUUGUAGCUCAUUUGAUUUCAAAAAUGAUUUAAUAAAAUGUGUUUAUAUCGACAAGUACAAA
rnacentral:lncRNA from 1 species